GCCUGUCUGGCUCAGUUGUAAGAGCGUGUGACUCUCGAUCUUGGGGUCAUGAGUUUGAGACCCAUGUUGGGCA
rnacentral:tRNA from 1 species